GUGUUUGUAGCUUAACGGAUAAAGCAUUAAAAUACGAAUUUAAAAAUUGUAAGUUCAAUUCUUACCAAACACU
rnacentral:tRNA from 1 species